CCCCCAGGGCCGGCGGCGGCGGCGGCGCGGUGCCGCUGGGGGCCCUGUCGCCGAGGCCGCAGGGCGAGGGAGGCGGCGGCAGCAGGCCGCGGCUGAUGUGGGGGGAGGAGAUGCCAUCGCCGCGCCCGUUCCCAGAGAUUGGGGAGGGGGAGGAGGGGGCGGAGGUCGGCAAGGGCAGGUUGACGAAGAAAAAGGGGCGCAAGUGGGCUAACAGCUUUUACAGUAAACAACAGCCAAUG
rnacentral:ribozyme from 1 species